rnacentral:rRNA from 1 species
GCAUAUCAAUAAGCGGAGGAAAAGAAACUAACAAGGAUUCCCCUAGUAACGGCGAGUGAAGCGGGAAGAGCUCAAAUUUGAAAUCUGGUAGCCUUCGGUUGCCCGAGUUGUAAUCUAGAGAAGUGUUUUCCGUGCCGGCCCAUGUACAAGUCCCUUGGAACAGGGCGUCAUAGAGGGUGAGAGUCCCGUCCUUGACAUGGACCCCCGGUGCUUUGUGAUACACUUUCAACGAGUCGAGUUGUUUGGGAAUGCAGCUCAAAAUGGGUGGUGAAUUCCAUCUAAAGCUAAAUAUUGGCGAGAGACCGAUAGCGAACAAGUACCGUGAGGGAAAGAUGAAAAGCACUUUGGAAAGAGAGUUAAACAGUACGUGAAAUUGUUGAAAGGGAAACGAUUGAAGUCAGUCAUGCUCUUUGACUUAAGCCUUUACGGGUGUAUGUCAUUGAGUGGGGUCAACAUCAGUUUUGAUCGAUGGAUAAAGGCACGAGGAAGGUAGCACUCUCGGGUGAACUUAUAGCCUCGCGUCAUAUACAUUGAUUGGGACUGAGGAACGCAGCAUGCCUUUUGGCCGGGAUUCGUCCACGUACAUGCUUAGGAUGUUGACAUAAUGGCUUUAAACGACCCGUCUUGAAACACGGACC